rnacentral:rRNA from 1 species
AUUGAACGCUGGCGGCAUGCUUUACACAUGCAAGUCGAGCGGCAGCGCGGGGGCAACCCUGGCGGCGAGCGGCGAACGGGUGAGUAAUGCAUCGGAACGUGUCCCGUAGUGGGGGAUAACGCCGCGAAAGCGGCGCUAAUACCGCAUAUGCUCUACGGAGGAAAGUGGGGGACCUGCAAGGGCCUCACGCUAUGGGAGCGGCCGAUGUCCGAUUAGCUAGUUGGGGGGUAAUGGCCUACCAAGGCGACGAUCGGUAGCUGGUCUGAGAGGAUGAUCAGCCACACUGGGACUGAGACACGGCCCAGACUCCUACGGGAGGCAGCAGUGGGGAAUUUUGGACAAUGGGGCAACCCUGAUCCAGCCAUGCCGCGUGCGGGAAGAAGGCCU